UGGGAUACACUGCCUUUAGAUGUUGGUUUAAAUUUGAUAUUCAAUCACUUCACACCUUACUAUCAAACUUCUAUUUGAACACUUCUCCCUUCUACGUUCCACAGACUUUCAAAAGAUAUAUUUUCUGGUUACUUGAUUGGCUAUGCUUUUGCAUCCGCCAGCUUUAGACUUCUGUUUCUCAAAAAAAAAACUACGACGCUUUCCAAUCGCUUAUAUAGCGCCAAUCUCUUCUUUUUCGCAUUCAAAUUUAAAAACGGAAACUCUUUCAGAGCUGAAAUCAGGGAUUACUCUUUAACCAUCAAUUUCCAUUGCUCCAAGCGGUGUAUGCGUUAUCAGCAGUUAUCUCCUUUUAACUUCCCCUCAACCUUCAUCGACUGGGUUCAUUUCGAGCAAGGCGGAUAGUUCGAAAGUGAUCUAAGUAUCGAUCGAUCAUCGGCCAUCUUCCAUUGAUUGCUGGUUUGUUUUGACUUCCCCGUUCGUGUUUAGUAGUGAACUGAACGGCAUCAUGAUGGUAUGCUUUCAGGCGAAAUGGUUCCGCAGUCCGCGAACAGCAACGCAGAGCAGCUUACAAUACCCCUCAACUUCGGAGAAUGAAAUUUGUGUAAACUCUUCUGUUUGCGCAAAUUUCAUUUCGAUUUCUAUGAUGCUAUUGCAACCCACGGGCAAUUAAUCAGACUUCUGGUUGUAUAUUAAUCACCGUUCAGUUAACCCGCGGCAAUGCAAUUCUCGAGCAAUCUUUCUUUUGUCCAAAUCAUGCAAAAGAAGUAUUGGAACCUAACCUGAAAAUGAUCAUAUCCUCGUUCCAGCUUCACACAGAAUCAUCCAACUCUCCUUCCUUUUUAAUUUAGUACAGUUAAAAUAUUUUCGUUUCAUCAUUAUACAGUAAUGAUAAAUUGCCAAAUUUGAUCCGUCAAUCAAAUAUGAACUUAAAUUAUUCAACCUCAAAACCAUUCCUAUAAUCCUCACAAUCUAGCAUCUGUUUGCUCAAUAGACAAUUGAGAAAUUUUGCUUUCCUCCUCUAUUUGUAAGAUUUUUAUUCGUAUUGUUUUCUUUACUUUUAGGAAAUCUGAAUUAUGCAUUUUCCCACUGUUGUGGAUACGCGCGAAUGAUGAACAAUCGAAAUUAAUCUAUACCCGUAAAUCGACAGGAAAUUUAUCGCAUUCGAUAUGAGCAUCCAACAUCAUCUCUACCCCUAAUUCAUUUUCAUAUUUAUUUUGUGAGUCGAUCAUUUCCAAGUUGAAUUGCCGGAAUUUGAUGAUACGCUAGCUUCAAACCAAGUGUUGAUAAAAAGCUACAUGGACCUGAUUGAGAGAGAAUGCCAUUCAUAUACGGUAGCGGAUAAUGAUCACGGACUGUCUUUUUAUUCAGUUCUCUACAAUCCAAAACAAUGCGAACACCUCCGUCUUUUUUCUUAAUGGGACAAAUUGGCUGGAAGUAAUCAGUAUCCGCAUCAACUAUCAACCCUAACUCUAACAAAUGAUCAAGAGUUUCAUUUACUUCUUUCUGUACAUAAGGGGACCAUUUAUAAGGAUUGAUUUGAACUGGUGGACAAUUCAUUGCUGCGAUUCGAGAGUUCAUAUUCGAAGUGUUCUGGGAGGUUGAUGGUUCAUUUCCGCGCAAAUGAAUGCUGUAAUCAACAUCAUCUAGUUGUUUGCAAUAAAAUUGUAGUUCAAUAAUAUCUCUUAUUUGUGCCAUGUAAGGUGCUAAACGAAACAAAUAUGUUGUACUUAGAUUUUCUUUAAGGAUUUUCAGUUUUUCAUAAUCACUUAGCUCAUAAGACAAUUCUUUGAACAACUUCUCCUUUUUUAAGUAAUAUUUAUCAAAUGUUUCUUCAUUAUUUUGCACAGUUUUUAAAAUCUCUUUAUACUUAAAAGAAUCGUGAU